AUAAGUUAAAACACAAAGUAUAGAGCAGUAAUAACAUUUAUGAGUAAGCAGAAAAUAUGUAUGUAUUUAUUUGUUCUUCCAAUCUUCUUCAAUUUUUUCUAGUAUUUGAAUGUUUUAUUUUGUGUUUAUGAUUGGUGAAUAGAGAGUGAGAAAAAGUUCAUUUCAAAAGUUGUCAAAGCAUUACAUGAAACCAACUUUUAUAUGCAACUAUUUUUACAACAUUCUUGCUCUAGAUUAUAAGAGUAUACAAUAAUAUUAAAAGGUAAUUGAAGUAUGAUGACAUCAUCAAGCUAGUACAAAAUUUACACCAUUGAACAUGACAUAGAAAGAGAAAGAGACAUAACUAUAUAUUUUAAGUAAUGUUGCUGCUAGAUAUUAAAACCACAUUGAUGCAAUCAUAAAUAAAUGGCCGCAACCUUGUAAAAUAAGACUCACUGGCAGUAAUCAACCAUGAAUGCUUUGUUAGGUUUGGAGUUGGCAAUUCUGUGAACAAAAGGGUCUAUUUGUAAAUGUUUUGAAAGUUAAAGGUCAAUCUGUAAAUGUUUAAAAGGCAAGGACUAUGAUGCAAUUUUGUAAGAGUAUGUUGGGGUUCGAGUUGUGAAAAGGAGAAGAAGAGUCAUCGAAAAAUUUUGCUAGCUAAUCUCCAGGAGAUUGCUCGAGGGUAAAAAACAGAGACCUCGUCGCUAGUUGAUCGUCCCUGCCUCACUCGAGCAAAAUAGCAUCGCUCAAUUUUCGCUAAUGUCGCUUGAGUGAUAAUACAUUCUGGAGAAACCCUUUUAGUGUUUUUCGAGAUGUUGACCCCGUCCACACUACCAAGAACACUUUAUAUAUAUUCUAGUGCAUCAUUUUCAUAUGUCUUCAGGGGAUUGAACAUUGAGAACACAUCCUACACCUUGUCAUCUUGAAUCAAUCCCACUUUCUUGUUGGUGCACUCAUAAACCCAUCAAAAUGCACACCCAUUAAACACCAAAACAUGUCCUUCUAGAGCAUUUGUCAUGGUUUAAAAUCAAGAGCCGGGAGAUCGAAGUUUCGAUCAUUGGAGAGCAGGGAGUUCUUAGGAAUCCACAGGAGAUAGAUGAAAUCAAGAGCCGGGAGUUGAUGCAAGAGCACGCAUUCCAGGAGGACUUUAUGGAAUCACAGUCAAGAGGUAAGUAAAACUAAUAUUGGUUGAGCCUGACGUACUAUAAGUUGGUUUUCAUUUAUAGUGGAUUUAUACUGGCUUGGGUCCAAGUUUUUAAUCCCAUAAGGGGGUUUCUCCGUCAUCAAUUUGCUUGUGUUAUUUAUUUUUCUACAAUUUACUAUACUGCAACAAUUAAACAUAGGGUUAGUAUGCAUGUGAAUUGAUCUAGAUAAAAUUAAUAAUUGUGAGUUGUUACAAUUAUUAAUUAACUGGUUUAAGUUCCACAUAAACACCUAUUCACCUCUCCUUUAGGUGUUAGUUGGGUCAAACUGCGUUCUUUCAAGUGGUACCGAAUCUUAAGCUCGAAUUCUUACCCAAAUUUGUAUCUAGAUGAGUCAAUCACUGUUCGUGACUCCGUAUUUUGACAGAAGCAACUAUGCAUACUGGAAAGCUAGGGUGAGAGCAUUUCUUAAGUCCCUGAAUGAAUGCAUUUGGGUUAGUGUGCAAAAUGGUUGGAGAGUCCCAUCCACUACUCUGUCAGGUGUAGUCACUUCCACUAAUAUUUCAUUUUGGACUAAGGAAGAAUUAGCUAACUGUAACUGAAAUAGCAAAGGACUCCAUGCAUUGUUUAUGACUGUGUCUUCCAAAGAGUUUAGGAGAGUGCUAAUGUGCGAAACUGCUAAGAAGUUA
rnacentral:lncRNA from 1 species